UACGGAAGGUCCGAGCGUUAUCCGGAUUUAUUGGGUUUAAAGGGUGCGUAGGCGGGAUGUCAAGUCAGCCGUAAAAUCGCGGAGCUCAACUCCGUUCAGCGGUUGAAACUGGCGUCCUUGAGUACACUAGAGGGCGAUGGAAUUCGUGGUGUAGCGGUGAAAUGCAUAGAUAUCACGAAGAACUCCGAUUGCGUAGGCAGUCGCCUGGGGUGCCACUGACGCUGAGGCACGAAGGUGCGGGUAUC
rnacentral:rRNA from 1 species